ACGAUCUUACUUCAACAGGAUCUAUUCUAUAGGCUCGUACAGCUGCAUCUUUAAUGAUUAAAGAGGCAAGCAACUAACUCUGGUUGAUGAGAAGUAGCUUCUGGGCUAGAGCAUGAUUAACGGUUCUGAUCCAUUUGGAUCGAGUUGUGGAGGAUCGUUCUCAGUCGGUAAAACCGGCUGAGAUGGCUUUGAAGCUUUCUAACAGAUU